CACACUUUGAGGUUCCCACUGCAUUGUUACACCUCCCCCCUCACUUCAGGGCCAGGUAACACCAAGAAGGACGCCAUGAGAGCGAAGGCCAUUGGGUAACCACCCUUUGCUCUCGCGCUGCGCGUCUCCCUGCCAUCAACCGCCACUGGGAGCGGUUGAGGGCGGCCGGCCUCGCGCUGGAACCUUGCCCGCCUCAAGGCUCCUGCGGCGGCGCACGGGGCAGGCCAGGAGCCCGCCCUAGGAGGGCCCCGCUGGAGAUGUGGAAAUGGAGGGACGCGGCACCUGGGCGCUUCCUGGGGCCAGACAACGCCCCCUCAUUGGAACCUCCAUGACCGUGCCUCUGAGAAACCAGCGCGUCUGCGACGAUCACUCCUAAUUUUCGGUAAUACAAACCUGCAGUCCAUGCACUUAGGUAACACCCUUGCUGAAAGGUUUACCUUUGGAGGGUUUAUCCUAAAGCAAAGUAUCCUCGAAUUGCAUGUCUUGCAUUCCCUUUGGAUGGCAUUGAUUUCAUUCCUGCUCAUGCCUUUCAAAAAACAGUAUGCCCUGUUUUCCUACUCAGUCUGGAGGUUCCAUUAAAGAGUAUUUCUGGCAAAGAUUUUUAGACCUGAAAACACACUCCAAAAUAUACUUUCUUCUGACUCCAUUCCCAGAGUUUUUCCUACCGCAUUCAAAUGAUUUCUAGAAAUGUUUUUGUUGUAGCCUUGAUCAAUUUCAGUCGAUAAAGCAGCAGAUAGUAAGGGAACAAUUCCACGCUCCCCACCCCUGACUCUGCAACACAGUGCAGAAUUCCAGUUGGCAAUAAAAAACUAGUAGAGAAGGAACUCACUGACUUCAGUUUGUAAUACCGUCAGAAGAAACUUUAAUCGUCACAUCCUUUCUGCUCAUUUGCAGGAUUCCUAUCAUCUGUCUCCACGUGAUAACACUGAAGAGCCUUCACGUUGAUGCAGGCCCAGGGCCUCAAGUGCAGAGACUGAGAGCUCUGCAGGACACAGCAUGGAGCCGCCAUUCCUCUAUGGGUGGAAGAGCAUGUGUCCUCUGAACAGGGGAUCCAAGCACUGAGAUAUUCUUUCUCAGCUGUCAGUGCGGCCCAGGACUUUCUGUGGGGAUGCUCAGACAGCAGGGGCCGGAGGACUUUUAGCCAACACCUAAAAUGGUCAGUCUUCACAAAUUACCUUUGGCUAAUUUGACUGUCUCUCCUCCUGGGGUCUAGGACUUCAAACAUGUACAGAAGCGAUUGCAGAAUUAAGA
rnacentral:lncRNA from 10 species